rnacentral:rRNA from 1 species
UACGAAGGGUGCAAGCGUUACUCGGAAUUACUGGGCGUAAAGCGCGCGUAGGUGGUUUGUUAAGUCUGUUGUGAAAGCCCCGGGCUCAACCUGGGAAUGGCAAUGGAUACUGGCAGGCUAGAGUGCGGUAGAGGGUAGUGGAAUUCCCGGUGUAGCGGUGAAAUGCGUAGAGAUCGGGAGGAACACCAGUGGCGAAGGCGGCUACCUGGGCCAGCACUGACACUGAGGCACGAAAGCGUGGGGAGCGAACAGG